rnacentral:rRNA from 1 species
UACGAAGGGUGCUAGCGUUGUUCGGAAUUACUGGGCGUAAAGCGCGCGUAGGCGGCGAUGCAAGUCAGGGGUGAAAUCCCACAGCUCAACUGUGGAAUUGCCUUUGAAACUGCAUUGCUAGAGUGUCGGAGGGGAUAGCGGAAUUGCUAAUGUAGAGGUGAAAUUCGUAGAUAUUGGGAAGAGCACCGGUGGCGAAGGCGGCUAUCUGGACCGACAUUGACGCUGAGGAGCGAAAGCGUGGGGAGCGAACAGG